rnacentral:rRNA from 1 species
GACGAACGCUGGCGGCGUGCUUAACACAUGCAAGUCGAACGGUGAACCAGAGCUUGCUCUGGGGGAUCAGUGGCGAACGGGUGAGUAACACGUGGGCAACCUGCCCCAGACUCUGGGAUAACCUCGGGAAACCGAUGCUAAUACCGGAUACGACCACUUCGGACAUCCGACGGUGGUGGAAAGUUUUUCGGUCUGGGAUGGGCCCGCGGCCUAUCAGCUAGUUGGUGGGGUAAUGGCCUACCAAGGCGACGACGGGUAGCCGGCCUGAGAGGGCGACCGGCCACACUGGAACUGAGACACGGUCCAGACUCCUACGGGAGGCAGCAGUGGGGAAUAUUGCACAAUGGGCGAAAGCCUGAUGCAGCGACGCCGCGUGAGGGACGACGGCCUUCGGGUUGUAAACCUCUUUCAGCAGGGACGAAGCGAAAGUGACUGUACCUGCAGAAGAAGCACCGGCUAACUACGUG